rnacentral:tRNA from 1 species
GGGGGAUUAGUUAAGUGGCAUAACAGGUGUCUCCAAAACACCGGUCGAGGGUUCGAUUCCUUCAUCCCCCG